GUUUUAGCUCAAUGAAUGAAUGAGAGAACCCAGACCAAAGAAGUCUUUUGUCCUAAGCUUGGGAGAGGAUGCUUUUUACCAGUGGUUUACCGGCUGCAGGUAUUUCAUCCAUUAGACACAUCCUUUCCCGCUAAUGCUGUGAUUUCCAAAGUUCAUUCUGCUGAUUCCAGCCCCAGGAGAUGCUAAGAGGAGAUACAAAAUAAAGGGGUUCCACUGGCAAGAUGACGUCCAAACUCUUUGACAAGGUCAACAGGGUCCACCACAAUUCGACAGCUGCUUUGAUCUUCAGAAACUACAUCCUGUUGUAAGUCCCAGGACCCACCACGCUCUCUCCUAUCUCUGGACGUUUGCCACGUGCUUCCUGGCUGUCCUUCCCAACUCACUUCUCUAUCACUUCUCCUCUCUGCCCACCCCUGGAUACUCCCUAUUGAUGCCUUAGUGCUCAGUUUACACAUCAUUUCCUUGAGGAAGGCUUCCUUGAAGACUGUCCCUUCCCCCACAUCACCCCAAAUCCUGAGCCGGCAGCUCCUUCUGGUUCCCAUGGCACCCCGCACUCUUUGGUAUGGCGACAUUCCUGGACUACAUUGAAAGGCCUGUGGCCUGCUUCCUUGCCUGUCUCCUCCACUGGUGUGAAAGCCCCUUGAAGAGCUG
rnacentral:lncRNA from 10 species